UUUGGGGAAACUACCAAAUUGUUUUGCAAGGCAGUGGAAACCCCCCUGAGGCAUUCAUCACCUGUGCGUUCACAUUUCUAUACCUCCUGGUCAGCAACUGCAGAAGAUUGUGGGGGAGUCCUGAAUGUUGAGAGAGAAACUCACCAAAGAACUUCCGGUGGUGUUCCAGCUGCUUCCUGUUACUUCAGUGGACUCAUGGUGGUCAACAGAUUCUCGAGGUUUCUUCUAGAUCAAGAUACUGAUGCUGAUUCCUGUUUGGUGUUUUGUUGGUGGUCUGGGCCGCUGACAGAGAUUGGAAUCACCCCAAAGAACUCCUUCUAAACAGAUAAGAAUUUGCUCAGCAAGCACCUGGGAUUCCUGGAACCCUCUCCAUGCAAAUGAGGUGUUCCCGGAACACUAAGCCUCAGCCAAUGAAACUUCACCCUAUGAAGCCUCAACCUAAGAACCCCUUCCCGCUCUCCAAGGUUCAUAUGCAGCCCUUGAUUCACCUGGAAUAAAGUGUAUGUGCACAAGCUGUCCCAUUGAA
rnacentral:sRNA from 1 species